rnacentral:rRNA from 1 species
UACGAAGGGAGCUAGCGUUGUUCGGAAUUACUGGGCGUAAAGCGCACGUAGGCGGACUAUUAAGUCAGGGGUGAAAUCCCGGGGCUCAACCCCGGAACUGCCUUUGAUACUGGUAGUCUCGAGUCCGGAAGAGGUGAGUGGAAUUCCGAGUGUAGAGGUGAAAUUCGUAGAUAUUCGGAGGAACACCAGUGGCGAAGGCGGCUCACUGGUCCGGUACUGACGCUGAGGUGCGAAAGCGUGGGAGCAAACAGG